CUGGCUCAGGAUGAACGCUGGCGGCGUGCUUAACACAUGCAAGUCGAACGAAGAAGAGUUGAAUGAGAGCUUCGGCAGGAUUUCUUCUCAUCUUAGUGGCGGACGGGUGAGUAACGUGUGGGCAACCUGCCCUAUACUGGGGAAUAAUCACUGGAAACGGUGACUAAUACCGCAUGUCAUCGCCGGAGGGCAUCCUCUGGUGAAAAAAGGAGUAAUUCGGUAUAGGAUGGGCCCGCAUCUGAUUAGCUAGUUGGUGAGAUAACAGCCCACCAAGGCGACGAUCAGUAGCCGACCUGAGAGGGUGAUCGGCCACAUUGGGACUGAGACACGGCCCAAACUCCUACGGGAGGCAGCAGUGGGGAAUAUUGCACAAUGGGGGAAACCCUGAUGCAGCAACGCCGCGUGAAGGAUGAAGGUUUUCGGAUCGUAAACUUCUAUCAACAGGGAAGAAACAAAUGACGGUACCUGAAUAAGAAGCCCCGGCUAACUACGUGCCAGCAGCCGCGGUAAUACGGAGGAUGCGAGCGUUAUCCGGAUUUAUUGGGUUUAAAGGGAGCGUAGACGGGAGAUUAAGUCAGUUGUGAAAGGCUGCGGCUCAACCGCAGCACUGCAGUUGAUACUGGUUUCCUUGAGUUCGGUUGAGGUGUAUGGAAUUCGUGGUGUAGCGGUGAAAUGCUUAGAUAUCACGAAGAACUCCGAUUGCGAAGGCAGUACACUAAGCCGUCACUGACGUUGAGGCUCGAAAGUGUGGGUAUCAAACAGGAUUAGAUACCCUGGUAGUCCACACGGUAAACGAUGAAUACUCGCUGUUGGCGAUAUACAGUCAGCGGCCAAGCGAAAGCAUUAAGUAUUCCACCUGGGGAGUACGCCGGCAACGGUGAAACUCAAAGGAAUUGACGGGGGCCCGCACAAGCGGAGGAACAUGUGGUUUAAUUCGAUGAUACGCGAGGAACCUUACCCGGGCUUAAAUUGCAGAGGACAGGCUCAGAGAUGGGCUCUUCUUCGGACCUCUGUGAAGGUGCUGCAUGGUUGUCGUCAGCUCGUGCCGUGAGGUGUCGGCUUAAGUGCCAUAACGAGCGCAACCCUUGCCAUUAGUUACUAACAGGUCAUGCUGAGGACUCUAGUGGGACUGCCAUCGUAAGAUGUGAGGAAGGUGGGGAUGACGUCAAAUCAGCACGGCCCUUACGUCCGGGGCUACACACGUGUUACAAUGGGAGGUACAGAAGGCUGCUACCCGGCGACGGGAUGCCAAUCCCCAAAACCUCUCUCAGCUCGGAUUGGAGUCUGCAACCCGACUCCAUGAAGCUGGAUUCGCUAGUAAUCGCGCAUCAGCCACGGCGCGGUGAAUACGUUCCCGGGCCUUGCACACACCGCCCUA
rnacentral:rRNA from 1 species